GACGAACGCUGGCGGCGUGCUUAACACAUGCAAGUCGAACGGAGCACCCUUAACUGAGGUUUCGGCCAAAUGAUAGGAAUGCUUAGUGGCGGACUGGUGAGUAACGCGUGAGGAACCUGCCUUCCAGAGGGGGACAACAGUUGGAAACGACUGCUAAUACCGCAUGACGCAUGACCGGGGCAUCCCGGGCAUGUCAAAGAUUUUAUCGCUGGAAGAUGGCCUCGCGUCUGAUUAGCUAGAUGGUGGGGUAACGGCCCACCAUGGCGACGAUCAGUAGCCGGACUGAGAGGUUGACCGGCCACAUUGGGACUGAGAUACGGCCCAGACUCCUACGGGAGGCAGCAGUGGGGAAUAUUGGGCAAUGGACGCAAGUCUGACCCAGCAACGCCGCGUGAAGGAAGAAGGCUUUCGGGUUGUAAACUUCUUUUGUCAGGGAAGAGUAGAAGACGGUACCUGACGAAUAAGCCACGGCUAACUACGUG
rnacentral:rRNA from 1 species